rnacentral:rRNA from 1 species
AUUGAACGCUGGCGGCAGGCCUAACACAUGCAAGUCGAACGGUAACAGGAAGCAGCUUGCUGCUUCGCUGACGAGUGGUGGACGGGUGAGUAAUGUCUGGGAAACUGCCUGAUGGAGGGGGAUAACUACUGGAAACGGUAGCUAAUACCGCAUAACGUCGCAAGACCAAAGAGGGGGACCUUCGGGCCUCUUGCCAUCGGAUGUGCCCAGAUGGGAUUAGCUAGUAGGUGGGGUAACGGCUCACCUAGGCGACGAUCCCUAGCUGGCCUGAGAGGAUGACCAGCCACACUGGAACUGAGACACGGUCCAGACUCCUACGGGAGGCAGCAGUGGGGAAUAUUGCACAAUGGGCGCAAGCCUGAUGCAGCCAUGCCGCGUGUAUGAAGAAGGCCUUCGGGUUGUAAAGUACUUUCAGCGGGGAGGAAGGCGAUAAGGUUAAUAACCUUGUCGAUUGACGUUACCCGCAGAAGAAGCACCGGCUAACUCUGUGCCAGCAGCCGCCGCGG